GAUGAACGCUAGCUACAGGCUUAACACAUGCAAGUCGAGGGGCAGCAUGGUCUUAGCUUGCUAAGGCCGAUGGCGACCGGCGCACGGGUGAGUAACACGUAUCCAACCUGCCGUCUACUCUUGGACAGCCUUCUGAAAGGAAGAUUAAUACAAGAUGGCAUCAUGAGUCCGCAUGUUCACAUGAUUAAAGGUAUUCCGGUAGACGAUGGGGAUGCGUUCCAUUAGAUAGUAGGCGGGGUAACGGCCCACCUAGUCUUCGAUGGAUAGGGGUUCUGAGAGGAAGGUCCCCCACAUUGGAACUGAGACACGGUCCAAACUCCUACGGGAGGCAGCAGUGAGGAAUAUUGGUCAAUGGGCGCAGGCCUGAACCAGCCAAGUAGCGUGAAGGAUGACUGCCCUAUGGGUUGUAAACUUCUUUUAUAAAGGAAUAAAGUCGGGUAUGGAUACCCGUUUGCAUGUACUUGAUGAAUAAGGAUCGGCUAACUCCGUG
rnacentral:rRNA from 1 species